UGAGUGUCCAAGGAAAUCUAUCCUCCUGGGGAGGUCCCAUGCUGACUGACCGUGGGAACAUUGAAUUAACUGUGUUGUCCUGACUCCUGUAGUGUACCCUUGAGGUAUUUGCUUUACGUUUUGACCUGAGAGGACCCGGCAAGGUCCCGCUACCAAUUUCGACUGUGAGCGUUUAGUGUAUUUUGUGCCAGUGGCCACUGUUGGUGCUGUCGAACUCUAUGCUUCGAGCUGCUGGUGACGGUGUUCGGUUCCUUACCGCCACGAUGAACUGUAAACGUUAGAUUGAAGAACUGAAGUCUGUUAUCAGGGUUUAUGAUUUCUCCUCCCAUAUGGACUUCAAACAAUCGUUUAAACACUAUAACAUAAUGUGACAAUAGGUGGCAGUUAUAACAACCGUUUGUUAUUUAUUUGUUCUUCGGAAUAUUCAUAAUGUUAUUCACAAGGUCUGGAAAAUAUUCACAUAAGAGCUAUAAUCUCUUAUUUUGGAUUGUCUACUUAAUAGGCCCAUUUGAUUAUUGUAAUUUAUUUAUUACGUCGACAAAUUAGUUAUUCAUCCACCAAUCAAUUCAAAAGUUUUUAUAUUUUUUCAAUUUAAUCAAAUUUUUGCAUAGAUCUGACGACAUGCAGGCAUAUAGAUAUGGCCAGUGAUAAAGGAAUAUCAGAUCUAUAAAGGCAGAAUGGUCAUAUGCUCUACACAAUGUCCAACACUCAUUUGUAUUUCAAUGUCUCAUCUCUUAUUUUCAUUUAUUUUUUGGUCAGGCAACUUAAGUAAAAAUCCACAUUCAUUUGUGUAACAUAAAUAU